UACAGAGGUCUCAAGCGUUGUUCGGAUUCAUUGGGCGUAAAGGGUGCGUAGGCGGCGCGGUAAGUCGGGUGUGAAAUCUUGGAGCUUAACUCCGAAACUGCAUUCGAUACUGCCGUGCUUGAGGACUGGAGAGGAGACUGGAAAUUUACGGUGUAGCGGUGAAAUGCGUAGAUAUCGUAAGGAAGACCAGUGGCGAAGGCGGGUCUCUGGACAGUUCUGAC
rnacentral:rRNA from 1 species